rnacentral:rRNA from 1 species
AACGAACGCUGGCGGCAGGCUUAACACAUGCAAGUCGAGCGCCCCGCAAGGGGAGCGGCAGACGGGUGAGUAACACGUGGGAACGUGCCCAAAGGUACGGAACAACUCCGGGAAACUGGAGCUAAUACCGUAUGUGCCCGAGAGGGGAAAGAUUUAUCGCCUUUGGAUCGGCCCGCGUCGGGUUAGCUAGUUGGCGGUGGAAUGGACCACCAAGGCGACGAUCAGUAGCUGGUCUGAGAGGAUGACCAGCCACACUGGGACUGAGACACGGCCCAGACUCCUACGGGAGGCAGCAGUGGGGAAUAUUGGACAAUGGGCGCAAGCCUGAUCCAGCCAUGCCGCGUGAGUGAUGAAGGCCUUAGGGUUGUAAAGCUCUUUCGCCGAGGACGAUAAUGACGGUACUCGGAUAAGAAGCCCCGGCUAACUUCGUGCCAGCCGCCGCCGUAA